rnacentral:rRNA from 1 species
UACGAAGGGGGCUAGCGUUGUUCGGAAUUACUGGGCGUAAAGCGCACGUAGGCGGAUUGUUAAGUCAGAGGUGAAAUCCCGGAGCUCAACUUCGGAACUGCCUUUGAUACUGGCAAUCUCGAGUCCGGAAGAGGUUAGUGGAAUUCCCAGUGUAGAGGUGAAAUUCGUAGAUAUUGGGAAGAACACCAGUGGCGAAGGCGGCUAACUGGUCCGGUACUGACGCUGAGGUGCGAAAGCGUGGGGAGCAAACAGGGAUUAGAAAACCCUGGU